AUGCCCUCUGAAUCUUUGUGUUUGGCUGCCCAGGCUCGCCUUGACACCGAAUGGUUGAAAACAGAUAUACAGAUGAUAGUGUCGAACCAAGUGAAACAAAGAAAGAAGAUCUGAAUGACAAAGAGAAAAAAGAUGAAGACGAAACUCCUGCACCUGUAUAUAGGGCCAAGUCAAUUCUGGAGACCUGGGCGUGGGGCAAGCAA
rnacentral:lncRNA from 1 species